rfam:Gossypium hirsutum cultivar TM-1 chromosome 15, whole genome shotgun sequence
AACCCAUGGUAAGGGUACUUUCUCAAAAGGUCCUUGUAUCUCUCCCAUGCGUCGUAGAGUAUUUCUAAAUCCAUCUGUACAAAAGAAGAGAUAUCAUUUCCUAAUUU